UUCGAAUGUUUUAAUCAACCAAAGAUGUGGUUUCAUUAAAGAACAUGAUAGUGAUUAUGAGAUUAAGAUAAAACUAUUAGUUUGAUGAAAUGAGAAACUCUUUCAAGAAAAGAUGAAAUUCUUCGAAUGCAACUAUCAACCAAAGAAAUAAUAUGGUUUAAGUAAUUAUUUUU